rnacentral:rRNA from 1 species
UGGGGGGAGGGCCUAAUACUGCAAGAGUAGAGCUCUUCUCUUGAGAGCGGCGGACGGUGAGUAACCUAGGAAUCUGCCUGGUAGUGGGGGAUAACGUUCGGAAACGGACGCUAAUCCGCAUACGUCCUACGGAGAAAGCAGGGGACCUUCGGGCCUUGCGCUAUCAGAUGAGCCUAGGUCGGAUUAGCUAGUUGGUGGGGUAAUGGCUCACCAAGGCGACGAUCCGUAACUGGUCUGAGAGGAUGAUCAGUCACACUGGAACUGAGACACGGUCCAGACUCCUACGGGAGGCAGCAGUGGGGAAUAUUGGACAAUGGGCGAAAGCCUGAUCCAGCCAUGCCGCGUGUGUGAAGAAGGUCUUCGGAUUGUAAAGCACUUUAAGUUGGGAGGAAGGGCAUUAACCUAAUACGUUAGUGUUUUGACGUUACCGACAGAAUAAGCACCGGCUAACUCUGUGCCAGCAGCCGCGGUAAUACAGAGGGUGCAAGCGUUAAUCGGAAUUACUGGGCGUAAAGCGCGCGUAGGUGGUUUGUUAAGUUGGAUGUGAAAUCCCCGGGCUCAACCUGGGAACUGCAUUCAAAACUGACUGACUAGAGUAUGGUAGAGGGUGGUGGAAUUUCCUGUGUAGCGGUGAAAUGCGUAGAUAUAGGAAGGAACACCAGUGGCGAAGGCGACCACCUGGACUGAUACUGACACUGAGGUGCGAAAGCGUGGGGAGCAAACAGGAUUAGAUACCCUGGUAGUCCACGCCGUAAACGAUGUCAACUAGCCGUUGGGAGCCUUGAGCUCUUAGUGGCGCAGCUAACGCAUUAAGUUGACCGCCUGGGGAGUACGGCCGCAAGGUUAAAACUCAAAUGAAUUGACGGGGGCCCGCACAARCGGUGGAGCAUGUGGGUUUAAUUCGCAAGCAACSCGRAGAAACCUUACCAGGSCUUUGACAUCCRAUGRACCUUUCUAGAAAAUGGUGCCCGGGAACAUUGAGACAGGUGGUGCAGGGGUUUUCGCUCAAGACAAAUUUUUU